UCCCUACCUUUCCUACAUUCCUUCUCUCUCUGCACAUACCUGGGCUUUCUUCAGAAACACAGCAUUUGCAAACCACGCAGAAUUCAUCCAAAAAACGAUGGUUGAGAAGCACGUGUUUACGGCACUUCUUCUUUUUGCGUCAGUGUCACCACUGAAUGGUUUAUUUAAUUGUCUGAGAGGGACAUGCAAGAAAAGGGAUAUCAAAAAGUUUGUAUGUACAAGAGAUCUUAUAUGGACAUAUAAUACCAGCUCCACGGAUUUUAUUAUGUGUAAAGCGGACCAAAUGAAGAGUUACCGUAACACCACUAUGUUCUUCACACGAUCAUUUUUCACGGACCAACAAUGGCGUCGGAGCAUUCAGAAUCUUGAAGGACGAUUUUCAACGCAACAUAAAGAAGUAAUGCAGGUCAGCAACAAAGAUCACAUGGUCACCUCGGUGGAGGAUCUUCUUUAUACGAGCGAAACAUAUCGCUGUGCAGUGAUCCUAGUCAAGCAAUUUUUACCCAAUCAUCAAAAAUUUUAUGACUUGCGAGUUUGGGACACUUACCUUAAAACUCGCCCUCACGAGAAAUGUAUUAAGCGUUUCGAGAAGCUGACACAAAGAGGACAUGGAAUUUACAUGCCGAAGUGCAGGAUAAUUUUAAGAAUCAAAUAAAAGUUAUAGGAUAAUGA